CGGGUGAGUAACGCGUGGAUAACCUGCCUUACACUGGGGGAUAACACUUAGAAAUAGGUGCUAAUACCGCAUAAGCGCACAGAGCCGCAUGGCUCAGUGUGAAAACUCCGGUGGUGUAAGAUGGAUCCGCGUCUGAUUAGCUGGUUGGCGGGGUAGAAGCCCACCAAGGCGACGAUCAGUAGCCGGCCUGAGAGGGUGAACGGCCACAUUGGGACUGAGACACGGCCCAAACUCCUACGGGAGGCAGCAG
rnacentral:rRNA from 1 species